UGGAGAAGGAGAAAGAGAGAUCGAGAGAAAAGAGUUUGUAAUCAUAAGCCACACCAAGAUAGAAAUAAGAAAAGACUGGCCAUCACCAUCAGUUUUCUUCCCACCUCUCAUUCCCUUGCCAUACUCAAACCAAUGGAACCUGACAUUUUCACAAAUAAAAUACGAAAAGGCUUAGAGAUUCAAAGUUAGAGAGGGGGAGAGAAUUUGUCAACCACACCAAGAGAGAAAUAUCUAAGCUGGCCAUCUCCAUCAGUUUUCCCACCACUGAUCAUUCCCUCGCCAUACUCAGACCACCGGAACUGCAAGGACACAAAGAUACAAUCCAUAAGGCGCAUCGUUACCAUCAAAUCGUCUGGACUAACACCGGUAGAGGGUUUUUUUUUUUCCUUAUUUCUUAGAUUUGAGAAUGAAAUAUGACAUAGUUUUGGGUUAUUUGGUUGGAUUGAUUUAUAAAUCAGAGGGGUGCCAUUACAAGUUCUGACUACCAGAAUCGCUCUAGAUUUUACAAAAUGAUGUUGCAGAGAAGAGAUGGGGCAGAGCAGCAAAGUAGUAGAUCAUAUGGCAGUUGUAGUGACUAUUGAAAGGAUGGAAGGAAGGUGUUUUCUUUUGUCUUGAAUGAAUGGUUUCAAUAUUCAGGGUGUUGUUGUUGCAUUUCCUGUUUAUUUUGCAACAUAGAGGUGGUGGAUGUCACUGCAGUGCUAGCAGCAUGGUGUGAAAGAGAUUUUGGGUGGUCAUGGAGAGAGCAAUUGUUUAGAGGUUAUCAAUCUGGUGGUUGCUAUUUUAGUGUUUGGUAGUGCUGAAGAUAAGGAAGACAGUGCUUUGAGGCUUUGGAGGAGAUGCUCAUUAUGGUUGAGCUUAGUUAUGUUGUAAAAUAUUAAUAUACAGUGUUAGCAUUUUUUUCUUUUACUUUCUAAAAAUUGUCCGAGUGUCUUAUCCAUCAUAUAUGUUGGGAUUAUUAUGGAGACCAUAAAGCAAAGGCAGAAGCUAGAAGAAGGAAAGGAGCAUCCUACAUUCUACAUGUGAACUUGAUGCAAUUAGCAUCAACAUGUAGGUUGAAAAACACCAUAAUCAUGUUUAAUCUUAUUAUUUCAUGAAAAUUUCGAAUAGAUUUUUUAUUAUUA